GACGAACGCUGGCGGCGUGCUUAACACAUGCAAGUCGAACGAAGUGGCGAACGGGUGAGUAACGCGUAAUACACCUGCCAUUCAGAGGGGGACAACAGGUGGAAACGACUGCUACUACCGCAUACUGAAGGAGGGGAUUGCGUCUGAUUAGCUAGUGGGAGGGGUAACGGCCCACCAAGGCGAUGCUCAGUAGCCGGUCUGAGAGGAUGAACGGCCACAUUGGGAGUGAGACACGGCCCAGACUCCUACGGGAGGCAGCAGUGGGGAAUCUUCCGCAAUGGACGAAAGUCUGACGGAGCAACGCCGCGUGAGUGAUGACGGCCUUCGGGUUGUAAAGCUCUGUUAAUCGGGACGCGGUACCGGAAUAGAAAGCCAUGGCUAACUACGUGCCAGCAGCCGCGGUAAUAC
rnacentral:rRNA from 1 species